ACUUUGCAAUAUGAGUUUAAAUAAAACUUGUUUUUAAGAUUGUGUAAAAUGCUUUUUUAUUUCUUUUUUAGUGCCAUUAUCAUCUGCUUCAAAUGUGCCAUCUUUAUCUGCUCCAAUUGUUCUAUCUUCAUCUGCUCCAACUGGUAAGGUUAACUG